rnacentral:miRNA from 1 species
GACGUCGAUAUUCGACGUCAUAAACACGAGCAACUUUGGUGUUUAUGACGUCGAUAUUCGACGUCAUAAACACGAGCAACUUUGGUGUUUAUGACGUCGAUAUUCGACGUC